rnacentral:rRNA from 1 species
AUUGAACGCUGGCGGCAGGCUUAACACAUGCAAGUCGAACGGUAACAUAAAGAAGCUUGCUUCUUUGAUGACGAGUGGCGGACGGGUGAGUAAUGCUUGGGAAUCUAGCUUAUGGAGGGGGAUAACUACGGAAAACUGUAGCUAAUACCGCGUAAUAUCGAAAGAUUAAAGUGUGGGACCUUCGGGCCACAUGCCAUAGGAUGAGCCCAAGUGGGAUUAGGUAGUUGGUGAGGUAAAGGCUCACCAAGCCGACGAUCUCUAGCUGGUCUGAGAGGAUGACCAGCCACACUGGGACUGAGACACGGCCCAGACUCCUACGGGAGGCAGCAGUGGGGAAUAUUGCGCAAUGGGGGCAACCCUGACGCAGCCAUGCCGCGUGAAUGAAGAAGGCCUUCGGGUUGUAAAGUUCUUUCGGUAGCGAGGAAGGCACUUAGUUUAAUAAACUAAGUGAUUGACGUAACUACA